AACGAACGCUGGCGGCAGGCUUAACACAUGCAAGUCGAGCGCCCCGCAAGGGGAGCGCCAGCCGGGUGAGUAACGCGUGGGAAUCUACCCAGCUCUACGGAGUAACGCAUGGAAACGUGUGGGAAUCCCGUAUACGUCCGUCUGGAGAAAGGUGUAUCGGUGAUGGAGGAGCCGGCGUCGGAUUAGCUAGUUGGUGGGGUAAAGGCCUCCCAAGGCGACGAUCUAUAGCUGGUGUGAGAGGAUGAGCAGCCACACUGGGACUGAGAAACGGCCCAGACUCCUACGGGAGGGAGGAGAGGGGAAUAUUGGAAAAUGGGCGCAAGCCUGAUCCAGCCAUGCCGGGUGAGUGAUGAAGGCCCUAGGGUCGUAAAGCUCUUUCACCGGUGAAGAUAAUGACGGUAACCGGAGAAGAAGCCCCGGCUAACUUCGUGCCAGCCGCCGCGGUAAAAC
rnacentral:rRNA from 1 species